rnacentral:rRNA from 1 species
ACAAGCAGCGGAGCGUGUGGUUUAAUUCGUUGCUACACGAAGAACCUUACCUGGGUUUGACAUAUAGGUUGUAGGAAACUGAAAGGGACCGACCUUCGGGAGCCUAUACAGGUGUUGCAUGGCUGUCGUCAGCUCGUGUCGUGAGAUGUUCGGUUAAGUCCGCUAACGAGCGCAACCCUCGUCGUAUGUUAUAUGUGUCAUACGAGACUGCCGGUAAAAAGCCGGAGGAAGGUGAGGAUGAUGUCAAGUCAGCAUGACCUUUAUAUCCAGGGCUACACACACGCUACAAUGGUCUGUACAAUGGGUAGCCAAGCCGCGAGGCGGAGCCAAUCUCAAAAAGCCGUUCUCAGUUCGGAUUGAAGUCUGCAACUCGACUUCAUGAAGUCGGAAUCGCUAGUAAUCGCGGAUCAGCAUGCCGCGGUGAGUACGUUCCCGGGCCUU